CCCUUAGAUGUUCUGGGCCGCACGCGCGCUACACUGACUGGUGCAACAAGUGUCUGACCUUGGCUCGAGAGGCCUGGGCAACCUUUGAACGCCAGUCGUGCUGGGGAUAGAUUCUUGCAAUUAUUAAUCUUCAACGAGGAAUUCCUAGUAAACGCAAGUCAUCAGCUUGCGUUGAUUACGUCCCUGCCCUUUGUACACACCGCCCGUCGCUCCUACCGAUUGAAUGGUCCGGUGAAGCGUUCGGACCGUGGCCUUUGGACGGUUCGCCGUCUGUUGGCUGCGGGAAGUUCGUUAAACCUUAUCAUUUAGAGGAAGGAGAAGUCGUAACA
rnacentral:rRNA from 1 species